GAUGAACGCUGGCGGCGUGCCUAAUACAUGCAAGUCGAGCGAAUGGAUUAAGAGCUUGCUCUUAUGAAGUUAGCGGCGGACGGGUGAGUAACACGUGGGUAACCUGCCCAUAAGACUGGGAUAACUCCGGGAAACCGGGGCUAAUACCGGAUAACAUUUUGAACCGCAUGGUUCGAAAUUGAAAGGCGGCUUCGGCUGUCGCUUAUGGAUGGACCCGCGUCGCAUUAGCUAGUUGGUGAGGUAACGGCUCACCAAGGCAACGAUGCGUAGCCGACCUGAGAGGGUGAUCGGCCACACUGGGACUGAGACACGGCCCAGACUCCUACGGGAGGCAGCAGUAGGGAAUCUUCCGCAAUGGACGAAAGUCUGACGGAGCAACGCCGCGUGAGUGAUGAAGGCUUUCGGGUCGUAAAACUCUGUUGUUAGGGAAGAACAAGUGCUAGUUGAAUAAGCUGGCACCUUGACGGUACCUAACCAGGAAGCCACGGCUAACUACGUGCCAGCAGCCGCGGUAA
rnacentral:rRNA from 1 species